rnacentral:rRNA from 1 species
CAGUAGCCGCGGUAAUACGAAGGGUGCAAGCGUUAAUCGGAAUUACUGGGCGUAAAGCGUGCGUAGGCGGUUUGUUAAGUCUGUUGUGAAAUCCCCGGGCUCAACCUGGGAAUGGCAACUGAUACUGGCAAGCUAGAGUGUGUCAGAGGAUGGUAGAAUUCCCGGUGUAGCGGUGAAAUGCGUAGAGAUCGGGAGGAACAUCAGUGGCGAAGGCGGCCAUCUGGGACAAGACUGACGCUGAGGUACGAAAGCGUGGGGAGCAAACAGGAUUAGAUACCCGUGUAGUCCCUGUCUCUUAUAC